UUAACUAUUAUAUAGUACUCAGACGACAUGUAUAAACAGAGUUUAGGGGUCCUCUGGCGGGCGCUCACCAGCGCGAGCCGGUGGCCGAGGCGGCCCGCCAAAGCAACAAAGGUAUAAUUAACAUAGGGUUGGAGAGUCACCCUCGCGGGCGAGUUUCUCUGUAAUGAUCCCUCCGCAGGUUCACCUACGGAGA
rnacentral:misc_RNA from 1 species